rnacentral:rRNA from 1 species
UACGUAGGGUGCGAGCGUUGUCCGGAAUUACUGGGCGUAAAGAGCUUGUAGGUGGUUUGUCGCGUUGUUCGUGAAAUCUCACGGCUCAACUGUGAGCGUGCGGGCGAUACGGGCAGACUAGAGUACUGCAGGGGAGACUGGAAUUCCUGGUGUAGCGGUGGAAUGCGCAGAUAUCAGGAGGAACACCGGUGGCGAAGGCGGUUCUCUGGGCAUUACCUGACGCUGAGGAGCGAAAGUGUGGGGAGCGAACAGG